UCUUACUUUUUGUGUUUGUUGGGUUGUUGUUUUCUUAUGUUGGUCAGAUGUCGCGGUUUGUAUGAGCAAGAUGAAGCAAUCUCAGAGUGCCUUUUGCCACACCUAUUAAAUCUAGUUAAACAUUACCCAGAAUCCUCCACUCUCGCCAAGAACCUCGAGCACUGGGCCCGAAACAGUGCAGCCAUUGUCAAAGAGAAUCUCUCAAUUUGUAUGCAACUUCAAUUAGGCAAUGUCCUGAAUCCUGAUUGGCUGAGUUUGCUAAUAGAACCCCGUUUCCAUGGCACUCUUUCAGGCCUGUUCACCAGGGCAAUUGUACUGCUCAAGAAGUGUGAUUCCAUAUGACCCCUACUUGACCCUUUGAGUUUAUCUACAGACCUUCAGGAUACUCACAGACGGUUUGUCCUAAAUGGAGUCAUCUUUCCUCAGGUCUUCAUUGAUGCACUAAAGACAGAUGAAUCCAGUGUUGUCACAGAUCAGGGUUGCAUUAUUGCAGUUUACAGGCUUAAUUAAGUAAUUAUUAUUGAUCUGGAAAAGCUGGCUCUUCAUCGCCAUAUUGAGUGGAAACUAUUCGAAAGGAAGAAUAACAGUUCUUUGUUGUGCAAUACAAGAGAGAUAAUAAAGAAAAACUUGUCUACUUCACCAGCCAAAAUCAAACACCAACUCCAGAUAAUUCAGCUCUGUAAGUGUAGCACAUCUAAAUCGGAAAUGGCUUGUUUCUGGAUGGGUGGUGAUUUCUGAAAUAGAGCACACUGCAGGCGGGG